rnacentral:rRNA from 1 species
GUACGGCGAGUGAAGAGGGAAAAGCUCAAAGUUGGAACCUGGUAGGCAUAGCUUACCCGGAUUGUAAACUAAAGUUUUCGAGUCGUUUAGUCAGCCAGGUAAAUAAGUCCUCUGGAAAGGGGCGACAUAGAGGGUGAAAUCCCCGUCUUUGGCCUGAGUUUUGAUUAGGCGUUUGGCUUGGAAACGAAGAGUCAGGUUGUUUGGGAAUGCAGCCUAAAAUGGGAGGUAAAUCUCUCCUAAAGCUAAAUAUUGACGAAAGACCGAUAGCGAACAAGUACCGUGAGGGAAAGAUGAAAAGCACUUUGAAAAGAGGGUCAAAAAGUACGUGAAAUUGCUGAAAGGGAACCGUAUGAAAUCAGAUCUACUGGUAGGUAAUCAAUCUUUCCUUUGGGAAGGAUGCACUUGCCUACUAUGUAUGCCAGCGACAUUUUGGUUGGGAGGAAAAAAAUAAAGGAAAUGUAGCUUAGGUUUCGGCUUAGGUGUUAUAGUCCUUUAUAAAAUACUCUCGGCUGGAAUGAGGAACGCAGCAAACCGUAAGGCGAAGAUUUCAGGCGCUUAGAGGGAAUAAUUAGAGAAUUUCUGCUUCGGGUGGUGCUUUGAUUAUUACCUUUAACACGCUUGGAGUUCUUUUAAUUU